rnacentral:snoRNA from 1 species
CAGGGUUGGAGGACGACUCGUUAACAACCUGCAUUAUGCAGAUGACACCCCCUUACUGGAAGUGAAGGAGAGUUGAAACACUUACUGAUAACCAAG